rnacentral:rRNA from 1 species
UACGUAGGGGGCAAGCGUUGUCCGGAUUUACUGGGCGUAAAGAGCGUGUAGGCGGCUAAGCAGGUCCGUUGUGAAAACUGGAGGCUUCACCUCCAGACGUCGACGGAAACCGCGCGGCUAGAGUCCGGAAGAGGAGAGUGGAAUUCCUGGUGUAGCGGUGAGAUGCGCAGAUAUCAGGAAGAACACCAAUGGCGAAGGCAGCUCUCUGGGACGGUACUGACGCUGAGACGCGAAAGCGUGGGGAGCGAACAGG